rnacentral:lncRNA from 1 species
GGGGAGUGACUGAGCAUUUACAAGUACUCAAGUUUCCUUUAUUGGGCUGAAUCCUACCUAGUCACUGGGCUUGAAUUCUUGUAUAUGCUGGUUAAUUAGACAAUAUUUAAUUUGACUUAACAUUGGUGUCAGUUUGGUGAAAGUGAGGCUCUGUAAUUAGGGAGUACAGACCGGGUUUCUGGCACAGUUCUGCUCACUUCCUCUAAUUUAAUGCCCCCCUUUCCAGUGUAUUAUCACCCUGGAUGUGUUGAGUUCCCUGCUGUCUUUUCUGCUUGACUGGUAACAAGGUGGCCCACAUGAACACCAACAGCAAAUGGACUGACUCAAGUCUCCUGGUCUUA